rnacentral:ncRNA from 1 species
GGUCAGAUAAGGCGCUCGCACCGCAUCCGACAUUGGCAGUGUGCCUGAUGCGACGCUGUUCGCGUCUUAUCAGGCC